ACUGUUCUUUCAACGUCCCUAACCCAGGUGAAAAUUUGCAACUGGGAAUGCAACUGGUCCCAACUGGUCCCAGUUCAAAUGGUUUAUGGAACAAUUCCCAGCGGGGACCAGUUGUGUCCCCACUGCAACUGGUCCCAGCUGAUCCCAGUUGGGUCCCCACUGCAACUGGUCCCAGUUGUUUCCCCACUGCAGCUGGUCCCAGCUUGUCAUUGUUUUUUGUCCGCUUGUCCUAUUGUCCUUUUUUGCCCUAUUAGAAUCAGCCUUGAGUAAGUGUUUCAUGGGUGUCCCGUCGUCAUGCAGAAGGCCUGCAAUAUAGCAGCGCCCAUGCAAUGAUAAUCACAGUGGAUGAAUGAGGCAUACGUUCAAAUAUAUUUUCAUAAUCAAAACUACAAAUGCUUAUGCUGGCCCUUCAUGAU
rnacentral:lncRNA from 1 species